rnacentral:rRNA from 1 species
AACGAACGUUGGCGGCGUGGAUUAGGCAUGCAAGUCGAACGAAUCCCGGGGGCAACUCCGGGGGAAGUGGCGAAAGGGGCAGUAAUGCGUGGCUAACCUACCCUGGGGACGGGGAUAGCCUUCCUAACGGAAGGGUAAUACCUGGCGAUGUGGCGAGGGGGCAUCUUCUUGCCAUGAAAUGAGUUUCGCCUCGGGAGGGGGUCACGUGCUAUUAGCUUGUUGGCGGGGUAACGCCCCACCAAGGCUAAGAUGGCUAGCGGGUGUGAGAGCACGACCCGCGCCACUGGCACUGAGACACUGGCCAGACUCCUACGGGAGGCUGCAGUCGAGGAUCUUCGGCAAUGGGCGCAAGCCUGACCGAGCGACGCCGCGUGUGCGAUGAAGGCCUUCGGGUUGUAAAGCACUGUCGAGGGGGAGGAAAGCCCGCAAGGGUCUGACCUAUCCCUGGAGGAAGCACGGGCUAAGUUCGUGCCAGCAGCCGCGGUAAGACGAACCGUGCGAACGUUGUUCGGAUUCACUGGGCUUAAAGGGCGCGUAGGCGGCUUGCCAAGUCAGGGGUGAAAUCUUUCGGCUUAACCGGAAAAGUGCUUCUGAUACUGGCAGGCUGGAGGGAGGUAGGGGCAGAUGGAACUUCCGGUGGAGCGGUGAAAUGCGUAGAUAUCGGAAGGAACGCCGGUGGCGAAAGCGAUCUGCUGGACCUCUUCUGACGCUGAGGCGCGAAAGCCAGGGGAGCAAACGGGAUUAGAUACCCCGGUAGUCCUGGCCCUAAACGAUGGGUACUAGGUAGUGGACUUGACAUGGGUUCACUGCCGAAGCAAAAGUGUUAAGUACCCCGCCUGGGGAGUACGGUCGCAAGAUUA